rnacentral:lncRNA from 1 species
UACAGGCCCAGCACUGAGGCCGGGCAAGGGGAGGCUGCCCAGCCACCCCUUCUUGUGGUUUCUACAGGUCUGCUGUCUGACGUCCAGCAGAAGUCACUGAGCUUCCUGGAGUCCCUGAAGAUGGACCGGCGGGAGCAGGGGCAGGCACUGGCCCUCCUUCGGCGGCAGUCAGAGCUGGAGGUCUGGGAGGCGCAGAAGGCCCUGGGGGAGCUGCUGUCCAGACCCAGACAUGAGCGGUUGCAAGAGAAGCACUCGACCCAGGCCAGGCCAGGGGCGGCCUUGGAGCUGGAGCCGCCGCAGGUGCGUGUGGAUCCGGAGCCGAGGACCUCUCAGAGAGCCGCGGCAACCAGGCCCAGGUGUGGCUCCCUCCCAGCGUAUGAGGGGGCCGGGUGGGGGUCUUGGGCCACGUGGACCACAGGAUGCAGCGCUCUCUUACCUGGCAGCUCUCACCUACUCCCGGGCCGAGACGCGGCUGCGCCCUCCCCGAGUCCCCAGGAUGGAAAGAAGAGUUGGGUGGAUGCAUCAGCUCACGCGGAGCCCGUGCAGGAAGGGAGACCAGCCCAGACUCCCUCCCAGCUGCCCGCAGCCAGGCUCUACACCUGGGAGGAACCCAGGCUCCAGGCACAGAGCCCCGGGGAAGGGGCUCACAGAGGGCCCCAGGGGAGGCACGGGCACGGGGUAGGGGACCCAGUUCUCCGUCCCUGGGACAUCAGGUGUUGAGACCCACCCCUCCGACAGCCUGCGCC